rnacentral:rRNA from 1 species
AUUGAACGCUGGCGGCAGGCCUAACACAUGCAAGUCGAGCGGAUGAAGGGAGCUUGCUCCUGGGUUCAGCGGCGGACGGGUGAGUACUGCCUAGGAAUCUGCCUGGUAGUGGGGGACAACGUUUCGAAAGGAACGCUAAUACCGCAUACGUCCUACGGGAGAAAGCAGGGGACCUUCGGGCCUUGCGCUAUCAGAUGAGCCUAGGUCGGAUUAGCUAGUUGGUGAGGUAAUGGCUCACCAAGGCGACGAUCCGUAACUGGUCUGAGAGGAUGAUCAGUCAGCCAGGAACUGGGAAAGGGUCCAGACUUCUACGGUAGGCGGCAGGGGGGAUUAUUGGAGAAGGGGCGAAAGCCUGAUCCUGCCAUGCCGCGUGUGUGAAGAAGGUCUUCGGAUGGUAAAGCACUUUAAGUUGGGAGGAAGGGCAGUAAGUUAAUACCUUGCUGUUUUGACGUUACCGACAGAAUAAGCACCGGCUAACUUCGUGCCAGCCGCCGCGGUAACAC